rnacentral:rRNA from 1 species
CCUACGGGAGGCAGCAGUGAGGAAUAUUGGUCAAUGGCCGAAAGGCUGAACCAGCCAAGUCGCGUGAGGGAAGAAUGUCCUAAGGGUUGUAAACCUCUUUUGUGCGGGGGCAAAGGGGUUCUGGUGAGGAGGUUUGCAAGUACCGCAUGAAUAAGCAUCGGCUAACUCCGUGCCAGCAGCCGCGGUAAUACGGAAGGUGCGGGCGUUAUCCGGAUUUAUUGGGUUUAAAGGGGGCGCAGGCCGGCUUUCAAGCCAGCCGUGAAAUUGCGUGGCUCAACCCUGGGAGGGCGGUGUGAACUGGCGACCUUGAGUGCAGGCAAGGCAGGCGGAAUUCGUGGUGUAGCGGUGAAAUGCUUAGAUAUCACGAAGAACCCCGAUUGCGAAGGCAGCUUACCAGCCUGCGACUGACGCUCAGGCACGAAAGUGUGGGUAUCGAACAGGAUUAGAUACCCGAGUAGUC